UACGUAGGGCGCAAGCGUUAUCCGGAAUUAUUGGGCGUAAAGAGCUCGUAGGCGGUUUGUCGCGUCUGCCGUGAAAGUCCGGGGCUCAACUCCGGAUCUGCGGUGGGUACGGGCAGACUAGAGUGAUGUAGGGGAGACUGGAAUUCCCGGUGUAGCGGUGAAAUGCGCAGAUAUCAGGAGGAACACCGGUGGCGAAGGCGGGUCUCUGGGCCGAUACUGACGCUGAGGAGCGAAAGCGUGGGGAGCGAACAGG
rnacentral:rRNA from 1 species